CUGUCGGAGAGAGAAAAUACAACAAAAUUAAUCUACUUCCUCUGGCGGAGGAUCUUGCAAUGCUUAGGGCGUACCUGGACAAAAAUCCCCAGACAAGAAAGUGAAAUUUUAGUUUGGGUUAGGCUACACCUAUAAAAAGGAUAUCACAGACUCGUGUAAUACAAAUGUUUACCCAACAGAGAAGCAUAGUGCUGGCAUACCAGAAAUGCAUAAAGCUAAUGUUUUUUUACUUUAUUUUCCAGAAUUAUCAAGCACUGGCCAAGUUUCUCAUAUCUAGUAAAAGACAAGUGUUAGUGGUAGUGCUCCCCCAACAUUACAGGAGGGUCUUUCCAUUUGAAGCUAUAGCAGCAGUCAGCUGUACUUUAGUAGUGCCCAGUCUUUUAACAGUCUUCAUAAUAAAAUCUUGUAGGACAUGCUCACAAUGCCACAAAUACAAUUGUCUGCAAUAGAAAGCCUGUUUUACUUUUUUUUUUAAAUCUAUGUCUCGUACUAUAUACCAGAUUUCUGUUACAUGAUAAUAGCAAACUCAAGUAUAGAAUAUGUGAAAAAUUUGUUUUGGUGAAGAUGAGAAACAACUGACACCCUUCAGUGCUUAUGUACAGUAGACAAUUACUUAUCUAUAAAAAAAACUAAAAAUAGUAAAAGCUAGCUGAAAAAAUGUAUAAAAUAGUAAUAAAUUUCAUUUCUAAUAUUGUAAGUUUAUUCUAUACUAUUUUUAGUGAAUGAUCAUACAAGCCCAGGGGCUUUAUUAAGAUCUUACAUUAGUCAAUCCCCUGAUUCGAGACUACUCUUAUAGUGUACAUACACUAUUUAUUUUAUACACUAUUUGUGUGUGUGUUGGGUGUACCACAACUUUCCUGUAAUUCAGUUCCUGGCUACAAAAGCAUAAACUAUGACUAAUGUUGACUCUAUCUGUUAAACACUUUUACAAACAUUUAACCAAUUACGUUUACAAAAACAAACUAUGGGCUGUUAUUUAAAGAACGAGCGAAAUGAAAAUUGCUUACCUCUGCUUCUAUUACUAAUCUUGUAUGUUAUUGAACCAAACUUGGACUGAACUUCGGUUGAAUAUAGUGUUAAAAAGUUGUUAUAGCAUCAUAUAAAAUUAGGUAUAAGCAAGUUCUUAAAAUCACCCAUACUGGUACUGGUAGUUAUGUGGGACUGUGGGGCUCCAUCUCGGAUAAUAUCACCCAUACUGGUACUGAUGGUUAUGUGGGACUGUGGGGCUCUAUCUCGGAUAAUAUCACCCAUACUGGUACUGAUGGUUAUGUGGGACUGUGGGGCUCUAUCUCGGAUAAUAUCAAAAUGUUAAGGGGCAGCAGAGGCAAGUACAUCUAAAUAGACAUCUAGUAGGUUCUAAUAAGAUAAUUUCUGAUAAUAAUACAAUAUCAAGGUGUCCAGAAAAGGGAAGGAGGGUAUCUGAAUAGACAUCUAGAAGAUCCUAAUAAGAUAAGAGGGAUAUAACCAUCUAAUUGCAAAUAAUCAGAGGGAAACAAUGAUAAUAUCCUAAUCUCAAUAUCAGAUAUAAGUGAUUUUUCUCUUUGUGGGAGUAAGAAAGCCAAACGUAGAAAUGGACAUUACAUCCCUUUACUAUCAGCAAAAAGCUAGAUCCCCCCUAGAAUAUUAUCAAGUGGUUAUUUUUUUGUAUCUAAUUUUUAUUAUGUAAUUAUAUUCAUUUAUCAUACUCUGAUUGAAAUACCAAGUAAACACAUGUGGCAUAAAAAAUACCUGGUCAAUUUGGAUAGAGCAUUAACUACUUAUUUUACAGUCAAGUAAGUAAAGCAUAUGAUACUUAUGAGUUAUGAGCGAUUAAUUAUAAAUUUUUGUGAUUACUCUAGCUUGUUACACUAAAAGUUAUAGAACGCACAAUAAAAUAUUCCGGUUCCGAAUUUAAACGACAGUGGAUAAAAUAUUUUUAUUAUUACAAAGUGCAGAUGGACAGGAUAGUUCUGUGAGAAAUUAGGAGACUGAAUAGUCCUAUUCACAGUCCCCGCCGCCAUCUUGGAUACAAACAUGAAAACAAGGCGAGAGUUGACUCAUAAUCAAAACAAACAUUGUUGUCAUUGCUGAGUUUUUGGCAAAAAUGGUUCUAGUUUAUCAAAAUGUCAAUCUCAAUUCGUUAGAAGACAUUCAGAAACUUUCUGUAAAGAGUCUUAGAGAUGUUUUACGUUCCUACAAAGAAAAUACGAGCGGCAUAAAGGCCGAUCUCGUCCUAAAAGUCUACGCGAUUCUUAUGUCACACGUGCUAGAUGGCGGGCCAAGUGUCCGGAAGUAGAAAACCCGCAAGAUUGCGUUACUUUAUAAUACUGUAUUACGUUACAUAUUUAGUUUUGUUAUGUGAUCAUGUUGUAAUUCGAGAUAGGUAAAAAAGGGGGUUGUGCCCCUAGAGUUGAGAUGCGAGUGUACUAUUACUACGGAGAGUUUGUGAUCAAGAAAUAAAGUAAAGAGAAUAUAAGUGAGUUUAUUUGGUUGUCCCCGACAAGCUCAACACAAGUUCAAAGUCAAACUGAAUUAUCAAGCACUGGCCAAGUUUCUCAUAUCUAGUAAAAGACAAGUGUUAGUGGUAGUGCUCCCCCAACAUUACAGGAGGGUCUUUCCAUUUGAAGCUAUAGCAGCAGUCAGCUGUACUUUAGUAGUGCCCAGUCUUUUAACAGUCUUCAUAAUAAAAUCUUGUAGGACAUGCUCACAAUGCCACAAAUACAAUUGUCUGCAAUAGAAAGCCUGUUUUACUUUUUUUUUUAAAUCUAUGUCUCGUACUAUAUACCAGAUUUCUGUUACAUGAUAAUAGCAAACUCAAGUAUAGAAUAUGUGAAAAAUUUGUUUUGGUGAAGAUGAGAAACAACUGACACCCUUCAGUGCUUAUGUACAGUAGACAAUUACUUAUCUAUAAAAAAAACUAAAAAUAGUAAAAGCUAGCUGAAAAAAUGUAUAAAAUAGUAAUAAAUUUCAUUUCUAAUA